AGCAGGGUAGAGCAGUCCGGUAGCUCGUCAGGCUCAUAACCUGAAGGUCGUGGGUUCAAAUCCCAUUCCUGCAACCA
rnacentral:tRNA from 1 species